GAUGAACGCUGACAGAAUGCUUAACACAUGCAAGUCGAUGGGGAAGUGGUGCUUGCACCAUGGCAACCAUGGCGGACGGGUGAGUAACGCGUAAGGGACUUACCUGCAGGACUGGGAUAACAGGGGGAAACUCCUGACAAGACCGGAUAAUGUCAUGGAGCUGCAUGGCUUUAUGAUGAAAGGAGACGCCUGCGGAGAGCCUUGCGUCCUAUUAGCUAGUUGGUGAGGUAAUGGCUCACCAAGGCGAAGAUAGGUAGCCGGCCUGAGCGGGUGGACGGCCACAAGGGGACUGGGAUACGGCACGUACUCCUACGGGAGGCAGCAGUGUGGAAUAUUGGACAAUGGGUGCAACGCUGAUACAGCAAUUCUGUGUGGACGAAGAAGGUUUUCGGAGUGAAAAGUGCUUUCAGGAGGGAAGAAGUAAGUGACGGUACCUGCAGAAGAAGCGACGGCUAAAUACGUG
rnacentral:rRNA from 1 species